rnacentral:lncRNA from 1 species
UAUAAAAUUAUUGAUUUUUUUUCCCUCUUAGAUUAAGGAUGUGAUGUAUUUUUUUGCAUUUUUUUUUCUCUGCCUCUAGGUUCAUAAUGAAUUAAAGGCUGUUGAGCACUUCAGAAUUACAAUUUUUAGGAGGUUGAAGUCUCUUCAUUUCUAAAUAAAAGCUACUGUGCUGAAGGGGAAGAAAUCUCCCAAGUCAGAGUGGUUGGUGAAAGCUGACCAGUAACUCGGUCAUGAGAAGCUGAGCACAGCGGAGAGGCACAGAUUCACCCACUAGACAACUGCCAGCAAAGAAAGAACCUGACUUGAUCCUAGAGACAGGAGGAUUCACGGAUAUUUUAAAGAGGUGAUGGUGGCUGCUGUCUAACCAUGGAACCAUGCGGGGAAUGAGGGGCAGGGGAGUUUGGAUCGACUUGCAAAACU